AUGUCCCGGUUUCCCUUUAUAACAUGUCAUCACUCAAAAACUUUAGUGUUGGCAGCAAUGGCCUUGUUGGACAGUUACCAUCUUACAUUGGUCACCCCACUACCAAACCUCCAGUCCCUAAUUAUGGGAAGCAACAGGCUGGAGGGCCUGAUCCAUACUUCACUAGCCAACAUGUCAAAUCUUCAAACGCUUGAUCUUUCAAACAACUCCUUGCAUGGCUCUAUUCCAUCUCUCGGUUCUUUGGCAAACUUGCGUCGGUUAGUUUUGGGGAGUAACUUGCUAGAAGCAUACGACUGGUCAUUUCUUACAUCUCUAGCAAAUUGCUCCCAGCUGACAAAGUUGUCCUUGGAAGGGAAUGCUCUGAAUGGCAGCUUACCUGUAGCAGUUGUUAAUCUUUCCUCAAUGCUACAAGAUUUGUCGCUUGGGUCAAACAAAAUUUCAGGCUCCAUACCUGUUGAAAUUAGCAAUCUUGUUAAUCUCACUUCACUUAGGAUGGAAAACAAUUUUCUUUCUGGAAGCAUACCUUCUAUCAUUGGUAAGCUGCAAAACCUAUAUAUCCUAAAUCUAUCAAAGAACAAAUUAUCAGGUCAGAUUCCUCCUUCAGUUGGUGAUAUUACUCAACUGGGCAAGCUUUAUCUUAGUGAUAACAAGUUCACUGGUAACAUACCUGGUAGUUUAGGUCAGUGCAAGGGACUUCUUGAACUAAAUUUGUCUCGAAACAACCUUGAUGGGUCAAUACCAGUCGAACUCUUUGCUAACCCUCCAUUCUCCCUCGGUCUGGACUUCUCACACAACAAUCUCAAUGGGGAACUGCCACUGGAACUUGGUACAGUUGGUGCUGGUGCUGGUCCAACAUCCCUUCACAUGGAAGGAAACAAGUUUCAUGGACAAAUUCCAGCAAGAUGGCAGUUAGUAUCAACCGUGCAGAUAAAUCUUUCUCACAAUGACUUAUCCGGUGCCGUGCCUGAAUUCUUUCAGCACCUUCAUAUGCUGGAGCAACUUGAUCUAUCUUACAACAACUUGGAAGGGGCUGUUCCUACAAGUGGGAUCUUUGAGAAUUCUACCGCAGUACUUUUGGAUGAUAACAAGGGACUCUGUUCAAAUUCCUCCAGGCUGGCAUUACCAAUUUGUCCUGGCAUCUCAGCUUCAGCAAAUAAAACAAAGCAUCAUAUGUCCUCGCUGGCAACCUUGCUGCUAAUUGUACUACCACCACUUACUAUUGCUUCCCUAGUCUUGCUAUGGUUUCUACCAACUCUUUGGAAGAGAGCGGUAUUCACAUUUUUACAAUUGGCUGUUGUGUCCAAGAAGAUGUUUCGUUUUUUUUCCCAUAAGAAGAGAAGAGAAAUGCAUACAGUUUCGUUCAACGAUGAGAAGAAGCUGAAGAGGGUGUCAUAUCAGGACAUUCUUAAAGCUACCAACUGGUUUUCUUCGCUUCAUACUAUCAGCUCAACCUGUACUGGAUCAGUUUAUUUUGGUAGGUUUAAGUCCGACAGGAGAUUGGCUGCCAUCAAAGUAUUCAACUUGAGUGAAGCUGACUUUAUUGAGUGUGAAGUGCUACGAAACACCCGCCAUAGAAAUAUAAUGUGUCCUGUGACUGUAUGCUCGACACUUGAUUCACAAAAUCAUGAGUUCAAAGCGCUGAUAUUCAAGUUCAUGGUUAAUGGCAGCCAUGACAGAUGGUUACACUCUGAGCAACACAAUGGGAUCCUAGGCAGAGUGCUAAACUUUGGCAAGAGGAUAUACAUAGCGGCAGAUGUGGCUUAUGUGCUUGAUUAUGUCCACAACCAACUAACGCCUCCUUUGAUCCAUUGUGAUUUGAAACCAGAGAACAUCCUUUUGGACGAUAACAUCACCGCGCAGCUCAGUGAUUUUGGCUCAGCAAAGUUUUUGUCGCCGGACAUGUUUAUUCCUGAAAGCCUGGAUGAUGUUGGAGGAAUAGUUGGGUACAUGGCACCCGAGUACGGGAUGGGGUACGAGAUCUCCGUAGGAGCUGAUGCAUAUAGUUUUGGAGUGCUUCUGCUGGAGUUGCUUAUGUUUGUUGGUGGACUUACCCUUCCCAUUUUUUCUGAAUCCAUGUUUCCUGAUAGAGUUGCGGAGACUCUAGAUCCUCAUAUGGCACAUGAGGAGUAUCAAGGGUCCGCAGAAGUAUGGAUGCAGAGAUAUAUUGUCCCGUUGGUUGCCCUUGGACUGUCGUGUACCGUUGAAGCUCCGAAGGACAAGCCUGGAAUGAAAGAUGUUUGUGCAAAACUUACUGCUAUCAGAGACACUUUUCUGGAAUGCCGUGAUGACAUUGACGAGUAUUUUAGCUCUGUUAGAGCAUGCUAG
rnacentral:rRNA from 1 species